rnacentral:rRNA from 1 species
UACGCAGGGGGCAAGCGUUGUCCGGAUUUAUUGGGCGUAAAGAGCGUGUAGGCGGCCAGGUAGGUCAGCUGUGAAAACUCGAGGCUCAACCUCGAGACGCCGGUUGAAACCAUCUGGCUAGAGUCCGGAAGAGGAGAGUGGAAUUCCUGGUGUAGCGGUGAAAUGCGCAGAUAUCAGGAAGAACACCCGUGGCUAAGGCGGCUCUCUAGUACGGUACUGGCGCUGAGACGCGAAAGCGUGGGGAGCGAACAGG